rnacentral:tRNA from 1 species
GCUCUUUUAGUAUAAAUAGUACCACUGACUUCCAAUUAGUAAGUCUUGAUAAACUCAAGAUAGAGCA